rnacentral:rRNA from 1 species
CCUACGGGUGGCAGCAGUGGGGAAUAUUGCACAAUGGGCGCAACCCUGAUGCAGCGACGCCGCGUGAGUGAAGAAGUCUUUCGGUACGUAAAGCUCUAUCAGCCGGGAAGAAGAUGACGGUGCCUGACUAAGCAGCCCCGGCUACCUCCGUGCCAGCCGCCGCGGUCAUACGGAGGGGGCAAGCGUUAUCCGGAUUUACUGGGUGUAAAGGGAGCGUAGACGGCCGCGGAAGUCUGGAGUGAAAUCCCAUGGCUUAACCAGGGAACUGAGUUGGAAACUGUGCGGCUAGAGUGCAGGAGAGGUAAGCGGAAUUCCGGGUGUAGCGGUGAAAUGCGUAGAUAUUAGGAGGAACACCAGUGGCGAAGGCGGCUUACUGGACGGUAACUGACGUUGAGGCUCGAAAGCGUGGGGAGCAAACAGGAUUAGAUACCCUAGUAGUC